rnacentral:rRNA from 1 species
GACGAACGCUGGCGGCGUGCUUAACACAUGCAAGUCGAACGAAGUGGCGAACGGGUGAGUAACGCGUAAUCAACCUGCCCUUCAGAGGGGGACAACAGUUGGAAACGACUGCUAAUACCGCAUACUGAAGGAGGGGAUUGCGUCUGAUUAGCGAGUUGGGGGGGUAACGGCCCACCAAGGCGAUGAACCGUAGCCGGUUUGAGGGGAGGGACGGACAAAUGGGGACUGAGAAACGGCACAAGCUCCUACGGGAGGCAGCAGUGGUGAAUCUUCCGCAAUGGACGAGAGUCUGACGGAGCAACGCCGCGUGAGUGAUGACGGCCUUCGGGUUGUAAAGCUCUGUUAAUCGGGACGCGGUACCGGAAUAGAAAGCCACGGCUAACUACGUGCCAGCAGCCGCGGUAAUAC